AGCCUCCCUCCCGGGCAGGGGAGGGGGGGCGCUCAGGGGGCCACACGGAGAGUGGGAGCCGCGGCGGGCCCCCUGCUCCCCCGGCGGUCACAAUCGCCCGGCUCCACGCUGCGGCCGCCGCCGCGGACGACGACGACCGGCCUAACCGUCCCCGCCCCCCGCAGCCCGCCGCGGCGCCGAACCCGGGUCACACCCACACGGAGCCGAGGACGCUCGCAGCCCCUCGCUCGGGGUGAAACUCCAACAUGGCUUCCGCCUUCGCUGCUCCUCCCCCUCCCCUUACUCCGGCUCCUCCACCCUCCUCCCCUUUCCCGGCUCCCGCCCGACUGCGCAGCUGCGAGCCCGGAGGGAGCGCUCCCUGGCCCCGCGCGCGGCCCUCCCCUUGCGCGCUCCGGCUCCCCGCGCUUGCCUGACGAGGCCCGGUCCCCGGGCCCUAUUCGGCCAAAACGGCCGCGGCUUCCCCGCGCGUGACCGCCGCUGUGCCGUGCCAGAAAAGGCUCGCCUGCACCCCGGGACCGCGGAGGGGGGGCAGGCAGAAAGGAGCUCCUAUUCGCUUCUCAGUUACCCAGGGACAAAGUCUGACGUCGCCGCAUCAGGUCCCCAUCCUAAGCAGUUCUCUCCCAGAGGUUUGAUAUCCCAUCUUAGCUGGGGCUGGGCAGGUUCAUGGUGUGAUCCAAAGCUGAGCGUCACCGACACAGAGUGCUAGUUUAUAGCAAGAACUGACUCCGGGGUACUCUCCAGUUCCAUGCCUAUGAUGUAGUCAUCAGAGUUGCAAAGGUAAGGAAGAAAUGGGAAAUCUCUUAUACUGUGGGGAGGAGAAUAAACUGGUACAACCACGUUGGAAGGCAAUUUUUCAUUCUCAAAGCUAAAGAUGCCCUUACAAUCUAACAAUUCCAUUUCUACAUGUAUAAAUGAAACUCUCCCUCAAGUGCAUAAAGAGACAUGUAAAUGACUGUUCAUUGAAGCAUUGUCUAUAACAGGAAAAUAAUUGGAAACAACCUAAAUGUUCAUCAACCUGAGAAUGGAUAAGUAAAUUGGUGUAUGAUCACACAGUGGAAUACAAUAUUAUAGUUAAAAUAAAUGAACUAGAACUAGAAUUAGAAUAUGCAUAAAUCUCAACUAAUAGAAUAUUGAGUGAAUAAAACCAAGUGGCAGAAGAUACAUAAAGUAUGCUACUGUUUACAUAACUUUAAACACAUCAAACAAUACUGCAUAUUUCCGUUUGUAAUAACAUUUUAAAAUAUUCAUGGUUAUGAUAAAUUACCAAAUUCAGGAUAGUUGUUACCUCUGCUGAGAAAGCAGGAUAAUGAUAGAGUAUGUAGAAGCCUUUAGCCAAAUCUGUAUUUAAAAACAAAGACGUGGGUCUAAAGCAAAUAUGGCAAAAAGUAAAUAUGUGACAAAGCUGGGUGGGAAAGACAAAAGAAGUUGUUAUAUUAUUUUCUAUACUCUGUAUGCUUAGACUAUUCCAUUUAAAAGUAUCUGUGGUCCUUGAACCCUGGAAUUCUGGGAUUUUCUUGUGUUUUUUACUUUGUGCAGAAUUUUCUUUUUUUUUCUUUUGCCCAUGCUAAAAUUCCGUCCAUUCUUUGAUACCUAGCUCAAGUCUCACUACCUUACUGAGAAUUUCUGUGACCAUCUUGUCAGUUCAAACUAUUGCUCUCCCUUUUCAAAACCAUGAUAGAUCUAUAAAGCUCUCUUGUACACUAUGUAUUUAUGACCAGAUUCUUUCAUACUGUUGUUUAAAUAUAUAUUGUCUUACAUUAAUAUUUGACUUUGCACGUAAACCUUGUUUCUCCAAUUGUAAGAGACAAUGUCUUAAAUGUCUUUAAUUCUUCACCAGUGCCCAGUAGAGCCUAACCAGAUACUUAUUAAAGAAAAGUGAUAUAUAAACCAUAACCCUUCCUACAAAACCUUUACAUAGAAAGUUGAAAAUACUAGUUUGUGCUACAUUUGCCUUUAUUUUCCAAGAGAGAGAAUACUAAUGAGCUGUGAAAUGACCAAAAAUCAGGCAGCAGAAGGGAAAAGAAGAAAUAAUGGAUUUGUAUAUUACACAUUCUGGAUAAUCAGCUCUUGA
rnacentral:lncRNA from 1 species